UACAGGGGGGGCAAGCGUUGUUCGGAAUUACUGGGCGUAAAGGGCUCGUAGGUGGCCAACUAAGUCGGACGUGAAAUCCCUCAGCUUAACUGGGGAACUGCAUCCGAUACUGGAUGGCUUGAGUUUGGGAGAGGGAUGCGGAAUUCCAGGUGUAGCGGUGAAAUGCGUAGAUAUCUGGAGGAACACCGGUGGCGAAGGCGGCAUCCUGGACCAACACUGACACUGAGGCGCGACAGCGUGGGGAGCAAACAGG
rnacentral:rRNA from 1 species